CACCUGGGCUGUCACUAAAAGACAGCCCAGGCCCCACCCCACUCCCCCUCACUUUUCACGUGAAGGAUGUCAGUACGGUUCGGUUCAACGUCUAAUCGAACUGUACCGAUCCAUACUGCUCGAUUUUGGGCGGUAUGGAGCCGAAUCGUCCGAUUCGGUGCGGUUCGGAGGUGGUUUUCAAAAAAAAUGGCCGAAUCGGAUCGGCAGUCAGCUGAUCCGGUUCGGUACGCCCCGUAUCGGGCGGUUCGGCCCGGUACGAUGAACCUUGCUCUGAUGGAUUUUUUGACGAUGAUUUUAGGCAGACAAAGAUUAGGGCAUUCAUGGUUUCAAUGGGAAAAAAAUGAGAACGG
rnacentral:lncRNA from 1 species